CAGUAUUUUACUUUUAAUCAACCUAGCUUGUGUCUUAAACUAGCUAGUUGAUCACUAGGUAAUUGCCUAUUAUCUUUUAUUUAUUGUUGUAUAUACAGUUUAAUCCUAAACACCUCAGGCUAAUUUUACCUAUUUUAACUUUUGACACAAAAUCCAUUACAGGAAACUUCCGUUUUUCUCGGACUUUUCCCAUAUCAAUUUCGAGUUUCUCGGACUUUUUCUCUGUCCGUAUCGAUUUUGUAGACAAAAAUGUCUAAUGAAAAUUUUACGAGGUUGACAUUUUCAAAAAGCGGAAGAUUUCAAAUUUUAACGGGAGGGACGGAAGAGGGUCUGAAAAGCGGGAGAUUUUGACUCCCGCCGGAAGAAUCACAUGUAUGUAAUUCAAGUGUGUAACAUUUAAUUAAUUAGUUUUUGCAUUCUAUUUUUUUUUUUAUCAAAGUUUUUUUUUAUUUAAUAGUUCAUUUUUUAUGCAUUCUUAUUUUUGUGCUGUUUGUCAGACCACACUUAGAAAAAGAAGAUGUGCUCACUAACCUAUUGAGCUAGCAUGUUUAAAGUAAGAAUGGGGUGUGUCAAUAUUUCACAAAGCAGGAUAUAUUCUUAUCUUAUUAACAUUUUAUUGUCCUAAAGUAUGUGAUAUUUGUCAUUAGAUAUGAAACAGCCAUCAAUCUGUCAUUAAUGUUGGAAAAAGUUGUAUGACCAAGGUCAUUUUCUAGUUAGUUAUACUUAAUAAGAUCAUAUAUUAAAUAUUGCAUGGAUGCAUCCUGGAAAAAAUAGGUCAGCAUCCAGACAAAAUAAGGUCACUAUCACUUACCUUAACCUUAUUUCUAUAGUCUGGUGGUCAAGUAAAGUUGGUUUUUUUAUUGUCUGCUCCAUCUAUUAGGCAUAAUACAAGUCAACAAUAUUUAGUAUGUUGAUUUACUAUAACAGGUAUAUGUCUACCUGAUACAUGCAAUAUAUCCUUGACCUUGACCUCAGCUUCAACAUAAACUGAUCAUAAAAAUAAUUCAAAUAUUGCAGCAGGUGAAACAUUUUAGUGUGCCAAAUUUUGUAUUAAAAAAAGGACCAAUAUUGAUGGGCAUUCAUGAUAAAUUGCAUUCAGUUUGGUUUAAUGUUAUUGAUUAUAACUUGUAAGUCUUUCAUAAAAAUUUUCACUUUGUUCCAGACACAUUCAAUUUUUGGCUGUCAGAGAUAAUUUUUGAUUGUUUGAUCUUAUAAUAAUCUUCUAUUUUCAACUUUCACAGGCAUUCUAAUUUAACUUUCAACAGAUUCAUGGUUGUGGGCUUAUCAGGUUGCAGGUUUCUAGUCUUAAGCCUGUGGUUUUGUUUUAGUUUUUAAGCUUAUCAAAAUAUAAUUAGUUUUUUUAUAACAGGUGAAAGAUUUGUAUUUUGUUUGUUCUUGAUGCUUUGGAUUUCUUUUGAAUGUAAUACAACAUUUUAAUUUUAUGUACUGUAUUUUUAUCUACUAAUGUCUUACAUGUCUUUAACAGUUCUUUUAGAUUCACACCAAUUUAAUUAUACAAUGUACCAUGUGAUACAUAUUGAGAGUAAUAGUUAUUUCUACUAAAACAGGAGUGAUAUAUUCAUUUAAAUAGUUCAUCACAGGACAUGUUUGGUUUGCAAAUGGACAAUCUGAAUAGAAUGUUUUAUUUUUAUGUUUGUUUUGACUAUCAUUAGAGAAGCCAUCCAUAAAGCAAAAACUUUGAGCUGAUUCAUAGUAAUUGCAGUAAAGCUAAUAACAGGUUUUACAUGCUUCCCUGAUAACAGUAAAAACCCUGGAAUUUCAUUUCAAGUCAUCCAGUCCUGGAAAAAUUCUAGGUAUAUUUCUUUUUGCAAUUCCACAUCCAUUCCAGAAUAUAAUCCAUGUCAUUUCAUCAUUUCAUAGUUCACACCAUGGUCUUCUCAUAAAUUAGUAAGUAUAUUAAUUUCAAACUUGCAAAGAUAUUCCUUCAGGGAUUUAACCCACCUUUUUUGUGAUGUUGUGUUGAUUUUUUAUUUCUUAUAAUCACCAGGAUCUUGGAAGCAUUGAAAAAUUUAAGGAAUUUCUCAUAAAUAUGGCCACUAGCUAGGUACUUUUUUAGGUCCAAUGAACAAGUCCAAAAAUCACAGAACUACCCUUGUUAGUUGAAAUUAUAAAUGGCAUAUUUCUUGCAAUGUUCUGAAGUCCCAUUACUUUGGUGCUGAUUUACAAACUAAUAUGGAGUACCUGUAUUUCUAUUUACAUGGGAUCCUCUAUAUAGAUGUUCUGAUGGUCAUUAAACAACACACUGAAUCAAUACGACAAAUGUGAGUGUUAAAAGACAUUAGUACUUUUAUUUUUUAUUCCUUUCCAAUUUGUUGCAAGUGUGUUAACAAUGGAUAUUUUUUCAUUGGAUCAUAUUACAAUAAGCCUAUAGAUUUAUCAGAGUAAUAUUUAUGUCAGACUUGAUAUGACUUCCUCUAGCUUUACACAGUCAUAGAUAUUCAAAUUACAUUUCUUUAUAUAGAUAAAGAGGGAGAUCCCAUGAAUAUUGUAUGAUUUUUGUAAAUUAGAUAUCAGCAUUUGUUGGUACAUUAAUAUGUAUAUAAUGUUACUCAAAUAUACAAUCAAAUAAUAUAUCACCGGUAAACUUAAUUUUUUGCAUGAAUCUAAUUGUUUUUGUACCUUGUUUUUUUUUCCCUUCAAAUCAACCAGGUAAAACUCAAGUUUUGUUAAUAUCUAAGAUAUCUUUUAAGAAACUAAGCAGUAGAUUCCUGAAUAAUGAUUUAUUAAAUACAUGUAUAAUGAUUACAAUUGUAUUCAAUUAAUCGGGUGUCAUUGUAGCUCACUUGUUUGGUACCACCUGACCACAUCUUUUUGAAAUUUUAGCAGUGUCAUGGAUCAUAAAAUACAGGUCAAGUUCGAUUUGGAUGGUUUUAAAAUUUACUGUUCAAGAGUUGUUUCCCUUAGUUAUUUAAAAAUUUUGAUGUAUUUGGUUUCCAGUUGACAAUGAAAGUGCUGUUUGACAAAAUCUGUAUACAUUUUUAAACACAUUGUUAUGAAACAUAAAAUAUACAGGUCACAAUCGAUUUGAAUUUUGAUUUUGGAUUUACAGUUAGAUAGUUUUUUUUUCUGCAAGCAGAGGUAUCCUUGAUAACUAGAUCAUCUAAGAUGGUCUUAAUUUUGUGCACAUUGUAAAUAUUGUUAAACAUGACUAAUGUUAUAUAUUAAAGUUAUAGUGACUUCGUAGAUGAUUACCACUAUGGAUUGAUAGUCUGUUCUGGUUUAUUUAAAAUUAAACAAGUAUAUGAUUUGCUCUUGUUUUACUCUAGUUGGAACAUAGACUAGGGACAGAUUCAGAUGUAGAACAUUGCAUAUAAAUAGUAUAAAGAGAACUACAUAAUUCAAACAAUUAUUUUAAUUUGAAUAUGGAAAAAUAUAAAAAUGAGUGUAUUGAUGCAUCAUAUUAUUUCUAAUUUUUUCUAAAAAAAUAAGCUACAUCAAAAACAUUGUGAUAAACUUUCUUGCUGUUUAUGUUAUUACUUAUCGAUACUACAUGCCUUAAUUUAUGUGUUUAUAGGUGUGUAUGUGGAGCUAUAUAUAUAUAUAUAUUAAUGAUAAAUACUUAAUUAUUGAUGAAGAAUUUCAAAUGUUGGUGUACGUGUUAAGAAAAGUGAAAAUGAAACAUGGUACAGUUGUUUGUGUUCAUCAUAUGUUACACCAAAACUUAUGGUAGUUAACUAAUGUUCUUGCCACUGGUCAAUUCUAUUUUUAAUUGUCAAUCUUGUGCAUCUGAAGACACAGGUUGAAGACUAUUCCAAAAACAUAUUGUGCACACUGAAAUCAAUAUUAUACCCUGCUCAUUUCAGUUGACUAUUCACAAUUAAAUUUCAACACAUUGUGGUGUUGUGGCCCAACUGGUUUUAAGAGCAGAAACAACUUAGUUUUUUUCUCUUUUCUUUUCUUUAAAUUAUCUUCAGAUGGACUAGAAUGACAUCACCAAAUAUCCUUAUAAAAUUGAAGUCAGGUAAAAUGGCAAUCGGAGAGAUGCUAUGAAGAAGAGAUCUGUCCUGUUAAACUAAUAAAUGUAGAACUUAUCAAUAGGUGUAAAAUGGUGUAAAAAUUAAUAUUUUUUCAUUUGUAAUAAAAAAUGAGAAAUUGAAAAUUUUAACUGCCUAAACAACUUGUAGAUGAUCAGUGUGGUAUAUAAUUGUACUUACUGUAAAAUGUGUCACAUUUGCUCACUUUAGACUUACAUGCUUUAACCAAUUCUCAUAAAAUAUGAAAUAUUGUGAGAGAGCACUUUGUAUACUAUAAUAUGCUUUGUAUGAUUGUGAUUCACCUCAUAUCAUGUAUUUAUUUGGGAAGUGUUACCCACGAGUUUUUAUAUGUUAAUUGUUUAAUCACGUUAUAUCAUUGUUUGUUCCAUUUUGUUGUGCAUUUGUUAAAUUUCAUGACUUGCAUUUGAUGAAAUAAACUGAUUUUCAAAUGG